rnacentral:rRNA from 1 species
UACGAAGGGGGCUAGCGUUGCUCGGAAUCACUGGGCGUAAAGCGCACGUAGGCGGAUUGUUAAGUCAGGGGUGAAAUCCUGGAGCUCAACUCCAGAACUGCCUUUGAUACUGGCGAUCUCGAGUCCGGGAGAGGUGAGUGGAACUGCGAGUGUAGAGGUGAAAUUCGUAGAUAUUCGCAAGAACACCAGGGGCGAAGGCGGCGCACUGGCCCGGUACUGACGCUGAGGUGCGAAAGCGUGGGGAGCAAACAGG